GAUAGUGAAAGCAGUUGGCUGGCAGCCAUUACACAGACCUGCGCUGAAUUCUGGGAGUUGUAGUCUCUGUACAGCAAACAAGGAAAAAGUAUUUAGGAGACAUCAGGGGCCAAAGGAGCUGCCAAAAUCAAAUGAAUAACUACAGGGGACACAGAACAGCAUCCCCUGAGGCAUCAGACCACCGGUGAAACUCCUCUUUGGCUGAAUGGAGCCAGUCCGAGAAUUCGUGAACAGCGUCCAGAGCAACUUGUGUCUUGAAGCAGAGCUGGUUUGUGGCUUCAUACUUUUUCACCAGAGCGGUCACAGCUUCCCCAAUGACCUCAAGUUCUGUAGACCUAAACUGUCGACAGAGUGUGUUGAGGUUUUCUUGUGUGGU